GACGAACGCUGGCGGCGUGCCUAAUACAUGCAAGUAGAACGCAGUUGCGAACGGGUGAGUAACGCGUAGGUAACUGCCUCAUAGCGGGGGAUUAAUAUUUGAAACGAUUGCCAAUACCGCAUACUGUGAGAUGGACCUGCUUUGUAUUAGCUGGUUGGUGAGGUAAAGGGUCACCAAGGCGGCGAUACAUAGCCGACCUGAGAGGGUGAGCGGGCAAAACGGGACUGAGAAAAGGCCCAGACUUCCACGGGGGGGAGCAGUAGGGAAUCUUUGGAAAUGGACGGAAGGCUGACCGAGGAACGCCGCGGGAGUGGAGGAGGUUUUUGGGUCUUAAAGCUCUGUUGUUAGAGAAGCGGUAACUAACCAGAAAGCGACGGCUAACUACGUGCCAGCAGCCGCGGUAAUUC
rnacentral:rRNA from 1 species